CAGAAACUUAAAAGUAGAAGGGACAGAGACAAGUGAAGAAGAGAAAAGAAGAGAGUGAAGAAGAGAAAGAGACGUUCUCUUCUUCACUUGUCUCUGUCCCUUCUACUUUUAAGUUUCUG
rnacentral:pre_miRNA from 1 species